rnacentral:rRNA from 1 species
UACGGGGGGGGCAAGCGUUGUUCGGAAUUACUGGGCGUAAAGGGCUUGUAGGUGGCCAACUAAGUCAAACGUGAAAUCCCUCAGCUUAACUGGGGAACUGCGUCUGAUACUGGAUGGCUUGAGUUUGGGAGAGGGACGCGGAAUUCCAGGUGUAGCGGUGAAAUGCGUAGAUAUCUGGAGGAACACCGGUGGCGAAGGCGGCGUCCUGGACCAAUACUGACACUGAAAAGCGAAAGCCAGGGGAGCAAACGGG